rnacentral:rRNA from 1 species
CUUACACAUGCAAGUCGAACGGUAACAGGAAGCAGCUUGCUGCUUCGCUGACGAGUGGCGGACGGGUGAGUAAUGUCUGGGAAACUGCCUGAUGGAGGGGGAUAACUACUGGAAACGGUAGCUAAUACCGCAUAACGUCGCAAGACCAAAGAGGGGGACCUUCGGGCCUCUUGCCAUCGGAUGUGCCCAGAUGGGAUUAGCUAGUAGGUGGGGUAACGGCUCACCUAGGCGACGAUCCCUAGCUGGUCUGAGAGGAUGACCAGCCACACUGGAACUGAGACACGGUCCAGACUCCUACGGGAGGCAGCAGUGGGGAAUAUUGCACAAUGGGCGCAAGCCUGAUGCAGCCAUGCCGCGUGUAUGAAGAAGGCCUUCGGGUUGUAAAGUACUUUCAGCGGGGAGGAAGGCGAUAAGGUUAAUAACCUUGUCGAUUGACGUUACCCGCAGAAGAAGCACCGGCUAACUCCGUGCCAGCAGCCGCGGUAAUACGGAGGGUGCAAGCGUUAAUCGGAAUUACUGGGCGUAAAGCGCACGCAGGCGGUCUGUCAAGUCGGAUGUGAAAUCCCCGGGCUCAACCUGGGAACUGCAUUCGAAACUGGCAGGCUAGAGUCUUGUAGAGGGGGGUAGAAUUCCAGGUGUAGCGGUGAAAUGCGUAGAGAUCUGGAGGAAUACCGGUGGCGAAGGCGGCCCCCUGGACAAA